rnacentral:rRNA from 1 species
GCAUAUCAAUAAGCGGAGGAAAAGAAACCAACAGGGAUUGCCCCAGUAACGGCGAGUGAAGCGGCAACAGCUCAAAUUUGAAAUCUGGCCCUUGGGUCCGAGUUGUAAUUUGUAGAGGAUGCUUUUGGCGAGGUGCCUUCCGAGUUCCCUGGAACGGGACGCCAUAGAGGGUGAGAGCCCCGUCUGGUCGGACACCGAGCCUCUGUAAAGCUCCUUCGACGAGUCGAGUAGUUUGGGAAUGCUGCUCAAAAUGGGAGGUAUAUGUCUUCUAAAGCUAAAUAUUGGCCAGAGACCGAUAGCGCACAAGUAGAGUGAUCGAAAGAUGAAAAGCACUUUGAAAAGAGGGUUAAAAAGUACGUGAAAUUGUUGAAAGGGAAGCGCCUAUGACCAGACUUGGGCCCGGUGAAUCAUCCAGCGUUCUCGCUGGUGCACUUUGCCGGGCACAGGCCAGCAUCAGUUUGGCGCGGGGGAAAAAGGCUUUGGGAAUGUGGCUCCCUCGGGAGUGUUAUAGCCCAUUGUGUAAUACCCUGCGCCGGACUGAGGUACGCGCAUUGCAAGGAUGCUGGCGUAAUGGUCAUCAGCGACCCGUCUUGAAACACGGACCAAGGAGUCGUCUUCGUAUGCGAGUGUUCGGGUGUCAAACCCCUACGCGUAAUGAAAGUGAACGCAGGUGAGAGCUUCGGCGCAUCAUCGACCGAUCCUGAUGUUCUCGGAUGGAUUUGAGUAAGAGCAUACGGGGCCGGACCCGAAAGAAGGUGAACUAUGCCUGUAUAGGGUGAAGCCAGAGGAAACUCUGGUGGAGGCUCGCAGCGGUUCUGACGUGCGAAUCGAUCGUCAAAUAUGGGCAUGGGGGGCGAAAGACUAAUCGAACCUUCUAGUAGCUGGUUUCCGCCGA